ACUUCCGGCGUAGCCAUGGCGGCUAACGCUACUACCAACCCGUCGCAGCUGCUGCCCUUAGGUAAUCGCCGUCCUUUGGGGAGCAGGAACAGGGAGCUGACAUUCAGGAUUGGGGGCCGAGGGGCUGUUCCGAGGCAGGCCCUGGCCGAGUGUGGGGAAAUGUAUAAGACCAAAUGCGGUUCGACUCUGAGCUCCAAGUCUUCGCGACAGCAGGCCGCACCUGCUCUUUAACGUGGUCGGGCUCCUCCAGGCAAGGACUUUGACUUCUCAAACCAGACCUUCACUGGAAAAGGUCCACAUUUAGUGAACGCGUCGUCGGCCUACUUUGUUGUGAGCCCGCCUCUGCAGUGUUAUAGAGCUUGUGGACAAAUGUAUAGGAUCAAGAAUUCACAUCGUGAUGAAGAGUGAUAAGGAAAUUGUUGGUACUCUUCUAGGAUUUGAUGACUUUGUCAAUAUGGUACUGGAAGAUGUCACUGAGUUUGAAAUCACACCAGAAGGAAGAAGGAUUACUAAAUUAGAUCAGAUUUUGCUAAAUGGAAAUAAUAUAACAAUGCUGGUUCCUGGAGGAGAAGGACCUGAAGUGUGAAUGAGUUUCCUUGACUUACACUAGAUUUUGUUUUGGCUUAUAAUGACAAGAAAAUGGAAUUUUUUUUCCCACUUUCUAAUGUUUAAAUCCCAUAAAGCUAAGUUUCCCGUUAAAGGGAAGUGCUUUGAAGAUGUGUACCCAUUUUUGUAAGUUAAUCAUGAUUAUCCUGGAAAAAGAAGAAAAGAGCUUCUUCUUUGCAGAUGAAAAUAAAGGUGUUUUUGGUUAACUGUCAUUUUGUUUAUUCUACUGCAGUAGCCAGUGGAACAAAGUUUGUAGUUAUUUUGCCACUUACUUUUCUGUCAUUAUAUGCUUAUUUGUUUUGUCAUUUACGUGACCAUUUGAUUCUCAAACAAAAGUUGUUCCAAACAAAAUGAUGAACUUUGAUUUGAACAGGUGCAUUUAAACAACCGGAAAUGAUCACUUAGAAAAUUCAAUUAAAAUGCUGUUGUUUUGUAAUGAGGAUUUUUCUUCUGAUUUCAAAUUCCAUGAACUCCUAUUGAAAACAAACAAUGUACAGGUAAUAUAUGCACAUUGUAGAAAUGCAGGAAUUAUCUAUUGGAAUUACCCUAAAGAUAGAAAUUUUAUCUAUUUGCUUAUAAAAUUGAUUCAGAAGGUUAUUACCUUAAUGUAGUUAUUACUGAAUUGCCAGGAAAUGAGUGGAGACAGAGCUUUAAGAUAAAGGAUACUAAAAGCAGCUAAGAACUCCAGGACUCAGGUCAAAUCAAGGAACUGAUAAUAAGAUCAUUGAACUGUAUAAAUUAAGUCAAAGAACUCCUAUUAAAAACAAACAGGUAAUAUAUGCACAUCGUAGAAUUGUAGGUAAGCAAAAAGGAGAAGGUUGAUCAUGCUUUGCUGUAUGUCUUCGUAGACUUUCUCAGUCCACUCUCAGUACACGUUUUAUUUUACUUGCUCAUCCUGAUUAUACUGUUUUUACCCUCCACUUAAGUCAUUUUUUGAAUUUAAAUGGUGAAUAUCUUUCUGUGUCAAAUAUUUCAACAUUAAUAUGUACAUAGUAUUAAAUGGAUUUACUAUAAAUUAUUUAGCCUAUUCUUACUGGCCACAGUAGUCUAACUAGAUCUUUAUACAUUUGUAUUUUUCUAGAAUAAACUCAAAAAUGUGUAAGAUCAAAGGGUAUAUAUUGUGUUGCCAAGAAAAAGUUUGUGCCAAUGUAUAUUUUUGCCAGGAGUCUUUCAUAGUACCAUUUAUAUCCUUCCCAGCAUUAGCUGUGUUCUACCUUCUCUCCUCUUUGCCAUUUUUACAAGAAAACCGGGCAUGUCUAAAGUUUUCUUUUCCUUUUUUUUUUUUUUUUUUUUUUUUUGGAGAGUCUCACUGGAAUGCAGUGGCAUGAUCUUGGCUCCCUGCAACCUCCAGUCAGGCUGGUGUGCCUUGUCGCGAUAUCAACGCGACCUCCGCCUCCCAGGUUCAAGUGAUUGUCCUGCCUCACCCUCCUGAGUAGCUGGGAUUACAGGUGGGCGCCACCACUCCCAUCUAAUUUUUAUAUUUUUAGAGAGAUGGGGUUUUACCUUGUUGGCCAGGCUGGUCUUGAACUCCUGACCUCUAGUGAUCCACCUGCCUCAGCCUCCCAAAGUGCCGGUAUUAAAGGCAUGAGCCACCAGGCCUGGCCUAAAAUUUUCUUGAUUAAUUUUGAUCUCAUUUGUAUUUUGUAAAUGACUUAUCUGUUGAGGCUUUUGCCAUUGAGAUGUUUGUCUUUUUCUUACUAAUUUGUAAGAAUUCUUGAUGGGUUUCUGUUAGUCAUGUAUUUUGCUAAUAAUUUCCCUAGUUUGUAGUUUGCCACUUAGUGCUAUUUUUGACAUAAAUGAUGUAUUUUAAUGUAGUUGCAUGUUGACCUAGUCCAUUAUGGUUUUUGUAUUUGGUCCACGUGGAUUGGAAAACCUUUGCUUUGAUUAUACUUUUCUUUGGGCA